rnacentral:rRNA from 1 species
AGCGAACGCUGGCGGCAGGCCUAACACAUGCAAGUCGAACGAAGCCUUCGGGCUUAGUGGCGGACGGGUGAGUAACACGUGGGCACGUACCUCUUGGUUCGGAAUAACGCAGAGAAAUUUGCGCUAAUACCGCAUGAGCCCUUCGUGGGACAGAUUUGUAGCCGAAAGAUCGGCCCGCGUUAGACUAGGUAGUUGGUGUGGUAAAGGGGCACCAAGCCUACGAACCAUAGCUGGUAGGAGUGGAUGAUCAGCCACCCGGGGAAUGAAACACGGUAGAGAGUCCUACGGGAGGCGGCAGUGGGGAGUCUUGCGCAAUGGGAGAAAGCCUGACGCGGCCAUGCCGCGUGAAUGAUGAAGGGCCUAGGAUUGUGAAACUCUUUUACCAGAGGCGAUAAAGACGGUACCGGGAGAAAAAGCCCCGGAUAGCUUCGUGCCAGCCACCGCCGUAAAAC